rnacentral:lncRNA from 1 species
GCGGGCGCCGCUCUUUUGUUUCUUGCUGCAGCAACGCGAGUGGGAGCACCAGGAUCUCGGGCUCGGAACGAGACUGCACGCCAUUGAGCAGGAGAAGCGGAGUGAAAUUUCCUAAGAUCCUGGAGGAUUUCCUACCCCCGUCCUCUUCGAGACCCCAGUCGUGAUGUGGAGGAAGAGCCACCUGCAAGAUGGACACGAGCCACAAGCUGCACUGUGAACCUGGGCACUCCGCGCCGAUGCCACCGGCCUGUGGGUCUCUGAAGGGACCCCCCCCCAAUCGGACUGCCAAAUUCUCCGGUUUGCCCCGGGAUAUUAUAGAAAAUUAUUUGUAUGAAUAAUGAAAAUAAAACACACCUCGUGGCAUGGC